rnacentral:rRNA from 1 species
UACGUAGGGGGCUAGCGUUGUCCGGAAUCAUUGGGCGUAAAGAGCGUGUAGGCGGUCCGGUAAGUCCGCUGUGAAAGUCGGGGGCUCAACCCUCGAAUGCCGGUGGAUACUGCAGGGCUAGGAGUGCGGAAGGGGCAACUGGAAUUCUCGGGUGUAGCGGUGAAAUGCGUAGAUAUCGAGAGGAACACCUGCGGCGAAGGCGGGUU